rnacentral:piRNA from 1 species
CUGGAGGUGAGCCCCUGCCAAUCUCAGG